rnacentral:lncRNA from 1 species
ACCUGAGAGGACUGUCUUUAAACAGGGUGCUCUGACUCCCAGCCACCGAGCUCCCUCCGCUGCUGCUGCUGCCGUCAUCGUCACCCUGGGAGUAGCGCGUGAGGCGCUGGCUUCUUCGGGACAUGAUGAUGGUGUUGGAAAAGGGACCGAUUGGUAGUAGGAAAAGCAGGAAGUUGGCCUGGGUCCUUGUCUCUAUUCCUGUCCUUAUAAGGUAA